CAACUCCUCUCUCUCCCUCACCGUCUCUCUCUUUCUCUCUAUCUUCUUCUCUUCAUUCUUUCUCUCUUGCUCACUUAUUCUCUAUCUUCGCCAUUCUCUCUAUCGGAGUCUUGGCUGGAAUCAAAUAAAUUGGUCGGAAAUAUUGAGUUUCUAAGUGAGGGUUUGAUGUAAUCAAGUUUGGGUUGAAGAAUUGAGCGGUGAAAGAAGAAAGCCCAAAUUGAUUCUUCAAAAGUGCUGCAACGUUUUAUGAACAGAGUUUCGAGAAUCCGGUGGCACUGGUAUAAACCAUAAGAGAUCAGCUUCACAUCGGUGGUGGUGGUCGGAAUAGGUCGAAGAAGACAAGUUCAUUUACAAUUCGAAAUUCAGCGGUUAGGCCUUCAAAGAAAUAAUUGUUUAGGGGCCUUUGAGAUUGAACCUCGUUGAUCAGGAUACAUCGUUAGAAAGCUAAUGAGUUUGGCUCUCUAUUGGUCGUGGUUCUUGAUGGUUUGCACGGGCGGCGGUCCCCGGAGUUUGCUGAGAAGUCAGCCUGCUCGCUGCAAUUUUGGGGAAGCAAAACCUGCUGCCGCACCUGUUUUCGGAGCCGAAAUCGAAGGGUUUCGAAUGCGAAUUUCGAAUCAGUUCCUUCAGGAAACUCGUAGAGGACAUCGUAAACUAUAAGUAAGUGUUCAAUUGUAUCGAAUUAGAAUAUUUAAUAUACGUGUUUUAGAGGUCGGAAUCCGAUGACAGUAAUCUGCCGGAAACAGGGCAGUUUUGAGUGUCUUCUUGCGGGACUCUUUUCGAUAUGUUGGGAUCAUAAUUUGGGCUGUAUGUCUUCAGGAAACUUGUAGAUUAAAUUGUCAGGUUUAAUUUGAUGUAUUAUUUGGACAAUUUGGAUAACCGUACAAUUUGUUAUGAUUUUUCAAACGGACUGCGACAGCAAACGAAAUUAUCCGAAAAUCUGGCAGGUUUAUGUGUUCAUCUUUCGGGGUUGUUAUUGACGGGUUAUGUUGUUAAUUUGGGAUUAGUGUCUUCAGUAAACUUGUAGAUACAAAUGUUAUCUUUAACUAUAUAUAUCAUUUAGUUCAUUCGGAUGAGUACAACGAUCCCAGUGAUUAUUUGAAUAGAAUGCCACGAGAAUCAAUUCUUAGUAUAUGUUUAAGAAAUUGACUAUGUCAUAUAGUGGAUGGUAGUAUGACUAUAUUACUGUUCGGAAUCUUAUUUAGUUCUAAUAUUUGCAUAGGUGUUGAGCUUAGUAAAGCUCUCACUCAAGGUUUAAGCUUAAAGAUGCUUCUAUAGCACUUCUAUAGAACUAGCGUUGGACUCCAGGUGAGAAACUAUGACUCCUUAUCCAAUUUCUUUCCUGCGCAUAAUAUCUCCUUUGUUUGAACCGAAUAUUUUGUAUAUAUUGAAGCCUUCUAUACCUUGAUUAUAUUUGUUCUUGAAAUAUGAUCCUUAAUGUUCUGCGAGCAUAUUCGUUUCCUUGGCUCGAACUUGGAACCUUGAUCUUGUUCUUGAAAUCUUGAACUUGUCAAUUCUCUUGGUUGCGUUCACGGCUAAUUCCUAUACUUGAUUCAUUAGCCUGAACACUUUCCUUGAAUCGAUAUUGAACUAUAUUUAUUCUCAAAAUCUUGUCUUGAAUGCCUUCCAAGAAUAAAUAUUUUGUUGGCUCGAACUUGAAUCUCAUGUUUAUUGAAUAUAUCGAGAUCUUGAUAUACUCGUUCUUGGAACCUGAUAUGGAACUUAUUGUUGUUCUUGAAUUCCAUAUUCACAACAAUUCUUUCAUUGGCUUGAAUUGAAAUCUGAACAUGUUCAUUAUCCUGAGACUUGAUAUUCAAUUAUCGUGAUCGUGACUUAUCUUGUGAAUGAUUGACUUGAUUCUUGAAAUGAAUGACUUGAUAUUCCUAAAAGGAAUGAUAUUGAUUCUUGAACCUACUGUCCCCACCCUUGAGGACGCUCUUGGGGGAGCUGGGCCCUAGGACCAUUUCGGCAAGACGAUCGGGCAGUAUUGGGCUGACGAUGACUGGUCUCCCGAAUGGUACCUCCUGAUGGUUCGGACUCACGUUCGUUUGGAGUUAAACGUUCCUGAGCCGGAUCGGCACGUUCCGGUCGUGCCUCUUGCUUGUUUCCGACCGAGUGGCCACUCGGGACGGAGUGGAGGGACAAGGAUGUGAUAUGAUUUUAUUUGUUGGGAGUUACAAGGUUGGAGACCCCACCAAAUAUUGAACUCAAGCCGUACAUGUUACACUCUUGUACAUGUUACACUUCUGUUAAUGAAAUUCUUGUAAAGUCUCUCGUUAUAUGUUCUGUUCUGUUGAUUCUCAUCAUACUCAUGGAUCAUAUGUUUUUCACAAAGUCAUUCGGACUUAUUCGUUUCUCCUUUCUGAUAUUAAUGCGCAGGUAAAAGAAAGACUUAGACCUAAAUUUUCAUACUAAGAGUUAAAGCUCGUGUAUGCCUCCGAUUAGUCUCGUCGAGAGGUAUCUCUAUUUAUGUUCCGUAUAGGAAUCCUUUGAUCGAGAAUUUUGUAAUAGAGUAAGUGGUGUCGAAGUCGAUUUGUAAUAGAACCUCCUUUUGUAAACACGAUGUUAUAGAUAUUGGGGGGUUUAAUGUUUUGAUCAUCGCAAUUUUGAGGAGCAUAUUUGGGGUCAUUAAAUGUACUGCAUGUUGAGUGGUGUUCCGCCACGAGGUGCCUGCUACUCGGGGCGGGGCGCUACAGGUGGUAUCAGAGCUUUGGUAGCUUUGGGUUGGAUGCCCGGGCGAUGAUGGAAAAGGGAUUUUUUGAUAAUUGUAGAGGUAUGAAUUGAAUCUUGGGAAAUUGAGAAGAUUGGUAGUAAUCGAGUAUUAGAGGCGUUGAGAUAAUACUUUAGCGUCUAUUACUGAUAUAGAUAGUGAAGAAUAGCCCGUACAAAUAUCUGUCAUACACGAUGGGAUUCUUGGUUCUUUUUGUUACUUCAAUUGGCUUCCAAUUCUCCGAUGUUGUUUGUCACGAGUGAGGUUCCUAGUCUCACUUGAAUUUGGUAAUAUCUUUUUGCAGACGUCCCAUUCAUUUUUACUUCAUAACUUGACUUCCUUAUCCAAACCAUAUUAUCUCGUUUUGAGUAUUGAAUUACGGUGAACCAAAUAUUCGGGAGUUCUUUUGUUCACUCCUUAUCAUUCCAAUGAAUUCAAGUUUGAUUCGUUGGCCUAUAUUGUCUAAUUUCAUUUGUUGAUCGUAAUCGAUUCUCUUAUCUCAUUUUAAUACCUCAUAGUCUUAGUUACCAAUUUUAUGAGGUUUCGUACCCCUUCAAAUUCCGCAUGGUUUGGAUUAUCUCUUGUUUUGAAGCCGCUUACCUUAUUGUGCUACCAUCUCCACCUUCUAUCCUUUGUAAAUAUUCUAUGGUUCCGGCUUAUCUAUUUGCCGAGACUUCUUAUCCUGUUCACUCCAUCUUUAGUGUUCAAUUAUUUUGAAUACCAUAUGAUUUUGGUCAUGUUCUUGUGAGGUUCCUUAUUUUUUUCCACUACCAUUUGCUUUUGAUAAUUGUGAGGUUUUCUAUCUCUUUGAACACUCUAGUUUCGGCUAAUCUAUUUGUCGAGACUUUUUAUUUCCUUGAAUAUUUCUUUACUUAUUCAAUAUAUACUACUCCAUUUUCAAUGUUCCAAUUUUCUUGAAUAUCUUAUGAUUUUGUUCAAGUACCUUUGAGGUCCCUAUUCACGUUUGAUUUGGCUAUACCAUUGUUAUUAUUCUCAUGUCGGAUCAAUCUUUCUACCUAUUUUUGAGGUUCUUAUUCUUUUGUCCUCAAAAUUCAGUUCUUGUACAUGCAUUUUUCCAUUGUUAUUAUUGAUCACAAUGGAAAUCCCAUAUCUCAUUUCAAAACACCUUAUCUUAUUUCAAUACUUCGGCAUCUCGGUUACCUACUUUUUCAGGGUUCUGAUUCUUUGAAUACAAUAUUGCUUGACUUAUCUUACUUCCUUCCCACUAUUGAUCAUGAGUGAGGUAUUUGAUCUCGUUUGAAUGCCUCGAUUUCCUUGUUCCGUUCUUUUUGAGAUUCCUCAUCUCAUUUAAUACUUCUUGAUUAGGGAUAGCCUAUUCUGUGAGUUUUCUUAUCCCUUUGAAACCUUGUGAUUCGACUUCUUCAUAUUGCUUCUUGUUGUUCCCUCUCACUUAUAGGUCAUUAUUAUUGAUAAUUCAGGGUAAAAGUAUGGACCUUGUAUGGGUAAUGUCGUGUCAUAUGACUACGGUUGUAUACAUCUAUUGUUAUAUCACCUUAUGGAUUCGACCUGGAAUAAUUUCGACGAUUAUCUUACUCGACGGAAAAAGGUUAUGUAGUUAUCAUGACUUAGAAAUUGUAUAGAGUUUGUUGACUCUUAAGGUAUCUUGAGCACUUUGAAUUCUUGAUUAUAAUCGUCAGGGUACAGGGAGCUAAGUGUUAUGCAGGGCAAAGUGCUACGGUGUGGGAGCCACCUCUUGAACCUGCGGGACAAAGUGCUACACCGCGGGAGCCACUUCUUAAUCUUGCAUGAGCCACCUCUAGAGUCCCUAGUAUCCGAUAAGUCAGCUAUAUCUUGACAUUGGAUUAUCAGUUUUUGCAAUUCUAUUUGGUUAAUAUCAAGAGCUAAGUGCUAUGUGGAGAAGGUGUUUAAUGUACAACACCUAUGUCAAUAACACCGUAGAGAGUUCCACUUUUCCUUGUAAGAUGUGAACGAGCAACUACAAGAAUUUGGCCUUCAUGAGCAACUUGCUAUAAAUAAGUUUUGCCCGUCUUGUAGUUUGGUUGAAGUAAUUCACCAUCAGCAUUAAUAGACAUAAUGUAUAUAAUGUUUCGGAUGUGAUUAGAGCGUGCUUAGUGUCGAAGAAUGACAUUAGACUAGUUCACCUAUGUUGAAAUAGUGGUGAAUUGAAUGAAUUUAGGCUACUCAAUUGUCGGAUAUUCUGAGUCAUGACUUCUCUACGAUAAGUAUUUAUUAGGCAUGCGGUUGCAAAACCACGGGAAGAUUGUAUCAACCGUUGCCAUUUUUGAUUACUCUUGAUUUUAGAAGUAAAGCUCUCUUCCAUCAACCGUUGCCUGGUCGAUCUACUAUUUGAAAACCUUUUCUUUGCGAACGCCAUCUAUAAUCAAGUUCUUCUAGUGUCCAAUGUUGAUACCAUAAGUAAAUCACCAUAAGUAAAUCAGGCUUCGCCGUCCUCUUUGAUUAUAAUUAUGGUGCAUUCAAUUCCACUUUAUGUAGGCCAAUGAGAAGAGAAUUUUUGUGGACCGGGAAAGUAGUUGCCUCUUCAAUCUCCUGAAGAUGAGUUAGAUUCGAAAUCUAUCUCUUGUAAUAAACUCACACUAUCUCGAUAUAGAUUAUAAGUCAUCUCGUUCUUAUGAAAGCAACUAUCUGCAAUAUGAGACAAAAUCUCAGCUCGGUACGAGAAACGUUCUCAAAACUAACUCUCGUGUGAGUGGAUGACUGAAAACAUUGAAGGAACCUUGUGAACGUAUAACGCAGAUCAUCGUGAUAAUUGGGAAUCUAUCAAGGUGGAAUACAGACAGCUUCGCAGUAGUUUGUGGAAUAAACUAUCAAUCGAGCUUGCAAUUCAAGAUUAGAUGAGCGACGAAUAACUAACGACGGCAAACGUAAGGGCUUGGAGAUUGAUACAAGAUGCUACGGUAAAGUUCGACUUAUCAAAUAAAGAUCAAAGCCUACACGAGAUUGUCAAAAGAGUUAUGGAGAUGUGGAAGUAGAUAUGUAGUUCUAGUUACCACAAAUGUUCGAGCGAAACAGAGGAGAAGAAACACGUUCCCUUGAAGAAUAUGACACGGAUAAGUAGGGAAAGAUUUAAAGAUUCGAUUGAUAUCAGACCCUUAUUAAUCCCUUUCAUUUCUCUCAUCAGACCAUUUGUAGCACUCCUAGCUACAAUCCUAACUCGGUUGUUUCCUCAUAGUUGAGGUACCUCACAAGUCCCAUUAAUUAGUUGAUGAACCGUAUCUUGGCCUUCAACUUCUAGAACAUUAUAAAUAUUUAGCAUCUUGCUCAACGGUAAGGCUAUAUCGAGUAUGAGACCAAUGAACUGUACGGUAUUGCUAAUGGAGCUGCGGACAUUAAGGUUCCACAAGCAGUAUUUCCUAGUACUACCUCAGAUUUGAAUUGAAUAAGUAAUUUCGAAUUCAUUAGGAUAGUAGUUCGACUCGUUACUUAAGUCAGUACCAAGUCUGGAACCUAUAGAUCGUUAAGGAAACAAUUUAUGAUAUGUUUUAGGUAUACCGGCUAAGCUAACACCAUUUUGAUCGAUUUCGAAUGUUACUCCUUGAAGUGACAUGGCUUGAAGAUAAAUUAUCAUAUGAAAAAAAAAAAAAAAUCGGUUCUUAUUGUCUGCACCAACCUUCUAUACUUGCUGGAGACUAUACGCACAAGCGAUAUCUAUCAUGAUAAUGAAUUCUUCAAUCACAAGAUUUGAAAGUGUUAUGGAGAAACCACCACGUUGAAGAAGCGACCGAUGAGCACGAAAAGAAUUUUAGGAAAUUGUAUUUCCAUGUUCGAAUUAUAGUUGAGAAUCUGGGGACCAGAUUCUUUUAAGGAGGGAAGAGUGUAACACCCCGUAAAUAUGUAAGUUGUUUAAGUCUGGGAUAAUUAAAUUUAUUUAGUUGAUAUGUGUCGAUAUGGAAUUAUAAUAUAUCCCGAAUUUGAUGGGAAGUGUAGAAUUGUAAUUAUCUAAAGUUAUGGCAUCUAUUGGUAAUUAAGAAAACAAUUUGGCCUUAUAGCCAAUUUUCAUAAUUUAUAAUGAGAUAUGGAUUGACGUGUGCAUCAUCAAUUGCAGCCACGUUUCUUCAUUCUCCCCAACUCCUCUCUCUCCCUCACCGUCUCUCUCUUUCUCUCUAUCUUCUUCUCUUCAUUCUUUCUCUCUUGCUCACUUAUUCUCUAUCUUCGCCAUUCUCUCUAUCGGAGUCUUGGCUGGAAUCAAAUAAAUUGGUCGGAAAUAUUGAGUUUCUAAGUGAGGGUUUGAUGUAAUCAAGUUUGGGUUGAAGAAUUGAGCGGUGAAAGAAGAAAGCCCAAAUUGAUUCUUCAAAAGUGCUGCAACGUUUUAUGAACAGAGUUUCGAGAAUCCGGUGGCACUGGUAUAAACCAUAAGAGAUCAGCUUCACAUCGGUGGUGGUGGUCGGAAUAGGUCGAAGAAGACAAGUUCAUUUACAAUUCGAAAUUCAGCGGUUAGGCCUUCAAAGAAAUAAUUGUUUAGGGGCCUUUGAGAUUGAACCUCGUUGAUCAGGAUACAUCGUUAGAAAGCUAUGAGUUUGGCUCUCUAUUGGUCGUGGUUCUUGAUGGUUUGCACGGGCGGCGGUCCCCGGAGUUUGCUGAGAAGUCAGCCUGCUCGCUGCAAUUUUGGGGAAGCAAAACCUGCUGCCGCACCUGUUUUCGGAGCCGAAAUCGAAGGGUUUCGAAUGCGAAUUUCGAAUCAGUUCCUUCAGGAAACUCGUAGAGGACAUCGUAAACUAUAAGUAAGUGUUCAAUUGUAUCGAAUUAGAAUAUUUAAUAUACGUGUUUUAGAGGUCGGAAUCCGAUGACAGUAAUCUGCCGGAAACAGGGCAGUUUUGAGUGUCUUCUUGUGGGACUCUUUUCGAUAUGUUGGGAUCAUAAUUUGGGCUGUAUGUCUUCAGGAAACUUGUAGAUUAGAUUGUCAGGUUUAAUUUGAUGUAUUAUUUGGACAAUUUGGAUAACCG
rnacentral:lncRNA from 1 species